GACGAACGCUGGCGGCGUGCUUAACACAUGCAAGUCGAACGGAAAGGCCCUGCUUUUGUGGGGUGCUCGAGUGGCGAACGGGUGAGUAAUACGUGAGUAACCUGCCCUUGACUUUGGGCUAACUUCAGGAAACUGGGGCUACUACCGGAUAGGAGCUCCUGCCGUAUGGUGGGGGUUGCAACGUUUCGGCGGUUGGGGCUGGACUCGCGGUAUCUGAGUUUGUUGGUGGAGUAGUGGCUUACCAAGGCUUUGACGGGUAGCUGGCCUGAGAGGGUGACCGGCCACAGGGAGACUGAGAUACGGCCAGGACUCCUACGGGAGGCAGCAUCAAGGAAUAUUGGACUAAGGGCGGAAGGCUGAGGGAGGAACGCAGGGUGCGGGAUUAGGGCCUUCGGGUUGUAAGCCAAUUUCGCCUGGGACGAAGCGUGUGUGACGGUAAUGAGAAGAGAAACACCGGCUAACUACGUG
rnacentral:rRNA from 1 species